ACAGAGGAAGUAUUUGAUAAAAUUGGAAUGAUACAGAGAAGAUUAGCAUGGCCCCUGCGCAAGGGUGACACGCACAUUUUUGCCCCAUCUGA
rnacentral:snRNA from 1 species